CUUUUCUUCACGUAGAAGCAGAGUGACUUACUGGGUUGCUUCCUUCAGCACUUGGCAGAACCUUCUUCUCCUUCAGUUUUCUCAGGCGCACUCAAUUUCAAGCAACCACCAUUACCAGGUGCCAAGUGCUCUUGCACUUGGUGGCACCAACUAAAGUUAUUACAAAUGAAAAGGCUAUGACAAACAAUUUGCUCAACUUCAAAGACCUGGAGAAUUUGAAGCUUGCAGAGGGUUUGGCUAAAAUAUGUUUUGAGAUACAUUUGUAGAUUUCACAAACUUUUGUAAACCAGAACAGUAAUUCAAGGAGGCAUUUGUGCACGCUUACUUUCAUUCCUCUGCCUUAAAAUCCUUGUGAGAUUUGAUUACACUUGCAAUUUUAUUGGAAGUGAUAUUAUAGAAUAAUUUGGAUGGUUCAGCCACAUGCAUCUAUUUGUAUAUUAGUAUUAUAGUAUUAUAAUGGAUGUGGUUAAGAUA